ensembl:ncRNA lncRNA:CR42839 long non-coding RNA:CR42839
GGAAACAUUGCUUUUGCGCGUUCGUCCCGAAACGAAAAAAAAAGAGAUGAUCGGCUUGCCUCUAAGGAUAUAAAUCUGUGAUAAAGUGCUUUAAUAAUCACAAAAUAUAUAUCAAAUGUGGAUUACUCAAUGGCCGGCUAUCCACACAGUGCACCUAACAAAAUCAGCCGUUUAUAUAAGAGCUUCCAAUGAAUUGUGGAAAUUUUGGCGUGUGUUUUGAGAAUUGAAAAUUUGAUCUUUGGCUCAUCGAUAAGAUACUGCUGGGCCCUGUGUAUAAAUUCCAACUGCCAAAGCAGCGCUCAAGUAACACUUGAGAAAGCGAAAGUCAACUUUGGAAGUUAAUUAACGAUCCGCUGAUUAGAUUAGAAUAUGCUUAUUAACUACUGCCCGCGAUACGACAAAGGCACCUCAAAAUUGUAUUUCCAAGAAAUCGCCAAACAUCCAUGAGGUGCAGUUUUCGGUCCGAGCAUAACAAUUUUUCCCAUCGAUCUUAUCCAUCUGUUUGGCUAUGAAAGCUUGUGUCUCUCCAUCGAAAGUUCAAUUCAUAGCUGGCGACAUUCUUUUUCAUUUGAGUUGCUGCUGAUGUGGAUGUAGCCCCCUUCGUGUUACUUUGAGGCCUGGCUGCUUCUUCCUCGUUUUCGUUAUCUUAAGUACACAUUCUGAGGUACAAACGUCAGUUGGCGAUAAGGCCACGAAAAAAACAGCAACACCACCCGAAGAAGACAUCAAAAAGCAGUCAAGUCAACAACAAACAGAAAGAGCCGAGGAGCGCAGGGUGGAAAUCGAGCAUUGGGUGGGGGAUCCGACUGCUCUAAAUGCAAUCUGUUUGCACAAUACCGACCUGAACCCAUACCCAUAUUAUGGUCUACCUAUGCCUAAGCAUUUCUACCUUUUCAGCAUUUUCACGCUAAACAAAUCAUGCAGAUGUCAAACAUUUAAUUAGGUGCACCGCAGCCGAGAAAAACCAGGGAUAAUGUGAAUUUCUUAUACUCUAUAUAUAUGGUGUAUAGAUGGCAGAAUAUCGAGCGACUUACACGACUCAGCUGAGCUGCUUGGCGGCUUCGGUUUCUGCAUAUGGUAAAUACCAUUAUCAAAUCAUAUUAUCUUAUUUAUAAGCAUUAUCGUGCCACAGAUACAGAUUGCCUAUCUAUGGAAUGGGCAUGUAAAAAAAUCAUAUAUACUCAGAUAUCUUACCGAGUGUGGUUAUUUCGUUGCUGGCAGAGUAAGUUUUGCACUUUCCAUUAAAACGCGCUCCGUUCCUCAGCCAACCCGUGUCGCAAUUAUAAAGCAAUAAUUAUGCAUUAUACGGAAAACAUUGAACGAGAGAAGCUAGAUUGUAAAGUGCGAAAAUAAAAAUGAGUAACAAAACGCGUCUAAUGAAAAAAAAAAUACACCCAUAAAAUGUCGAGCGUCAGCGCCGAACAUGAAUUCAUCGUAAAUUACGGACAACAAGUGAAGUGUGUGUACUAAAAACGUAAAGGUGGCAUGAAAACAUAUAGUAUAUGGGCAAACAAAUGGACUGCGAAUUAAGCCCACUGUGAAUUGUUACCGUUCUGGUCCUCAAAUAUACCAGUGAUCUUAGUGCCUUGGAAUCGCCGGAGAAACCCAUGAUAUUUUUCGGAACAUGACUAGUUUUAUCCCGCUUCCGAUUUCAGAAUUAUAUCUCCUUGGAAGAAAGGCGACCAUUUUGCAAUUCAUUUUGAAGCCCCAAUGCCCCAAUGUUGACUACAGAAAUAAUUUAUGGUGAAUGGACUUCAUUUCACGGCUAAUCAACAGGGGUAUCAAUCAAAUUACUGGACGGAGCCACCUCAGCACCACUCGAGUGGUGCACGAGCCAUUUCAACGAGCGGCACUCGCGACUUUACCCAACUUUUGUACAGUCACGUAGUCAGGCAGCCACCUCGUUCCUCCCACUGCCACCCACCAGCGCCACCUCCACGCUUACCGACCCACCCCCUUACAGACCCUCUCUGUGGGAUCCCCACAACUCGGCGAGCAAACAACCCUAGCAAUAAACAAAAACUGUUUUGCCACAUGAAAUGACUUUCAGAUUUUGUUGCUGUUGUCGUUUUGUAACGCGUGACUCCCAUAAAAAACAAGAACAACAACGGCAACCAGCGCACUGAAAGUUUAUUAAAAAGGAAAUAGAGCGAAAAAUAUAAAUAGAGGGAGAAGGCGGGGGUGUGACAGAGACAGAACGGAGGGGACUCAGCAAUGUGACGUUAUCUUAUCACUGAAAAUGUCGCUUUCGUAAAUGGCGGCGCACAAAAUAAUAUAAUACACACUUACUCCACCCCAACGUACAUAUAUGUGUGCAUGUGCAUAUGUACAUCCCCCACACAUAUGUAUGUACAUAUGCACAUCCACUCUCUGAUAUUUUAUUCUCGCCUGUAAUUGCUUAAUUCUAGAGUGGCUCUGCGUAGAGGACAUCCACUUUACAUAUCUCCUAAAAAUCAGAAAAUAUAUUAAAAUGUAUCUGAAGUGUAUCUGUAUGUAUUCCCUUAUUUUUCAUAAAUAAGCGCUUUAUAUCUAUAACAAAUUUUUGCACCUAUCAAAGAUGUGUAGUACACAUUGAGUACCUACCUAUAAGUAUACUUUUUUCGAAUAGCUGUCCCUUUUCCAUUAUUCUCUAAUAAAAAACAAUUAGAUACUCUACUGUUCUAAUAAUUCUCUUUUUGUACUAAUAUCACAUUUAAAGAAAAUAAAAAAGUAUUACCAACUAACUAAAAGGGUCAAUAAGUAUUUAAAACUACAUGUUAAAUAAGUAUAAAUAUAUGAAGUCAUCUUACAUGACAAAAACGGCAGAGAAUUUAAUUAGCAGCUAUUCUUAUCUAGCAAUCAGAUUAAGUUAAAUUUUUUAUAAAUUUCCGAUAUAAAGAUCACAUUCAUAAAAUAACAUUUAAUCUGACGUGAUAUUAGCUUGUAAAAUAUAAUUAAGAAACCACUUGGUCUCAUAUACCUUUAUACACACAUUAGGUUAAGUUCAGAGGAAUUUUGGAUCCAAAACAAAUAGAAUGAAGUU